AUGGCGGCGGCAGCGACGUCCUGCUUCGUCCUCGUCCUCGCGCUCUGCCUUCUCGUGUCCAUGGCGCUGAUGGCGGGGCACUACUACGGCCGGGCGGAGCUGGUCGCCGGCCCGGGCUGCUCGCGGCUCCUGCGGGCGAACCCGCUAUUGGUGCAGGACAUCACGGUGAGGACUGCGGAGGAGGAAGAAGGGUCGGGGGCGAACGGGCUCGUGCUCUACGGGCUCGCCGAGAUACCCGGCCUCGACGACGUGCCCGCGGUGUGGUCGGAGGCUCGCCGCGUCGUGCUGCCGGCCAACUCUCACAAGGAAUGGGUCUAUUUUCUGAACGAAGGUAGUCAGAUCGAGGUCAACUACAGCGUCGAGCCUGUAACUGGACUAACCAAUCCACUCCGGAUCACCAUUGCUCAAGUAGCAGGUAAGGAAGGCUUCACGCAGUGGUCAGAGGAACCAUCGGUAAACGGAACCGGAGCAGUUAAGCAGAUCAUCGAUUCAUCCGACGACUACUACGUCACCGUCAGCAACCUGCGCGACCAAGACACAACGGCGACGCUGGAUUUCAGGAUCAGCUCCGUGCUCUACAACACGAGCGGAGCAGAGUACGCGUGCUCGCCGUCGCCGGGCAGCUCCGGCUGCAUCUACACGCUGCCGAUACUUGGGGAGAACGUGGCCGUCCUGUCGUCUGGUCUGAAAGAGGGCGUGAAGGUGGAGCUCUCGUACGGGCCGCGCUGGAUCAUCUACUUCGUCGGCUCAGCCAUCCUGGCGGUGGCGCUGCUGCUGCUGUACGAGGUGCUGAGCGUGCUGCUCGGGUUCUGCUGCGCCGUCGUGGCCGACCAGAGGACGACGACGACGGCCUCGUUGCUGGAGAGCAAGGAGGAGGAAGAGGGCGGGAGCCGGGGCUCGUCCUUCGAAUCAGUGUCCUCCCACGACGGCGAGGCGGGCGACGAGGAGGAGGGGCGGCGGCUGUGCGUGGUGUGCUGCGACGCCCGGAGGGACUGCUUCUUCAUGCCCUGCGGCCACUCCGCCACCUGCCACGCCUGCGGCACCAAGAUUGUUGAGGGAGAUGCUAGCUGCUGCCCGUUCUGCCGGAGGAAGCUGAAGAAGGUGAGGAGGAUCUUCUGCGUAUGA
rnacentral:rRNA from 1 species